UUUUUUUGAAUUUGUUAUGCCCGUUUCAAAAUGCAGUCAAAACGGCGGGAAUGACCGUUCCUAGCUAGUGGUGGAAUCUUGGAAUUUUUUGGUGUUUCUCUGAUUCAAUAGAUACUUAUGUACCUAGAAAUUAUUUUUGUAAAAAAUAAAUAACAAACUAUGAGGCAGCUAUAGUUCAAAUUUGACCCGCUUCCCGCUGAAUCGGCGGAAAUUUGUCUUUUUCAAGAGAGGUGGAUCAAAACUUUUUACACCCAACCAUUUGGUCAAUUGUGCAUUAAAUAUGGCCUAGUAUUUUAGAAAAAUGAUUUGGUCCAAUUUUGCAACAAUUAUUUGUGAGGUCCUUCACAAAAAAACCUCCUUCCGGGCACUCGAAAAAUAGAAAAUGGUUUUUUCGUCCAAAGAAAAUGAAAACUUCCUUAGGCAACAUUGUUUGCCAUUCCAAUAUGCACCCUUGUGCACAAUAUGAGAUCAUUUGAACAAACUAUGCCAUGAAUGUGGCCAUAAGAUUGAUCAUUUGGCUUGAAAGCCAUUCAUCUCCACACGUGAUAGCUCGUUUCUGAGAACACUUUUUUAAAAUAAUUGCCGUACUAGAAGUUUGUUAUUUUUCCAGGGAACUUGGCCACAUAUGAUGACACAAUGCGAAGGUUUCCCAAUUUUUUGAUUUUUUGAAUUUUUUAUGCACGUUUCAAAAUGCGGUCAAAACGGCGGGAAUGACCGUUCCUAGCUAGUGGUUGAAUCUUGGAAUUUUUUGGUGUUUUUCUGAUUAAAUAGAUACUUAUGUACCUAGAAAUGAUUUUUGGAAAAAAAUAAAGAGCAAACUAUGAGGCAGCUACAGUUGAAAUUUGACCGGCUUCUUGCUGAAUCGAUGGAAAUUUGUCUUUUCAUGAGAGGUGGAUCAAAGCUUCUCACACCCAACCAUUUGGUCAAUAGUGCAUUAAAUAUGUCCUAGUAUUUUAGAAAAUUGAUUUGGUACAAUUUUGCAACAAAUAUUUGGUAGGUCCUUCACAAAAAAGCUUAUUUCAGACACUUGAAAAAUGGAAAAUGGAUUUUUCGUCCAAAGAAAAUGAAAACUUCCUUAGGGAACAUUGUUUGCCAUUCCAAUAUGCACCCUUGUGAACAAUUUGAGAUCAUCUGAACAAACUAUGCCAUGAAUGUGGCCAUAAGAUUGAUCAUUUGGCUUCAAAGCCAUUCAUCUCCACACGUGAUAGCUCGUUUCUGAGAACACUUUUUUGAAAAUAAUUGCCGUAUUACAAGUUUGUUAUUUUUCCUGGGAACUUGGCCACAUAUGAUGACACAAAUGCUAAGGUUUCCCAAUUUUUUGAUUUUUUUUGAAUUUGUUAUGCCCGUUUCAAAAUGCAGUCAAAACGGCGGGAAUGACCGUUCCUAGCUAGUGGUGGAAUCUUGGAAUUUUUUGGUGUUUCUCUGAUUCAAUAGAUACUUAUGUACCUAGAAAUUAUUUUUGUAAAAAAUAAAUAGCAAACUAUGAGGCAGCUAUAGUUCAAAUUUGACCCGCUUCCCGCUGAAUCGGCGGAAAUUUGUCUUUUUCAAGAGAGGUGCAUCAAAACUUUUUACACCCAACCAUUUGGUCAAUUGUGCAUUAAAUAUGGCCUAGUAUUUUAGAAAAAUGAUUUGGUCCAAUUUUGCAACAAUUAUUUGUGAGGUCCUUCACAAAAAAACCUCCUUUCGGGCACUCGAAAAAUGGAAAAUGGUUUUUUCGUCCAAAGAAAAUGAAAACUUCCUUAGGCAACAUUGUUUGCCAUUCCAAUAUGCACCCUUGUGCACAAUAUGAGAUCAUUUGAACAAACUAUGCCAUGAAUGUGGCCAUAAG
rnacentral:lncRNA from 1 species